GGUCGCUGCCUUCGGGCAGAGGAAAGUCCGGACUCCACAGGGCGGAGGAUCCAUUCGUCAAGGAUGGAAGGCGUCGGGAAAUCCGACACGAUGGAAAGUGCCACAGAAAACAGACAGCCUCGCAAGGGGUGAUGGUGAAAAGGUGAGGCAAGAGCUCACCGGUCCGUCUGAAACGACGGACGCAGGGUAAACCCUCCUCGGAGCAAGAUCAAAUAGGAAACCGACCGGCUGCCCGUCGGGCGUGGGCUCGCAAGAGCCGACUUAAGGUUUCGGGUUGAUUGCGUUAGAUGAAUGAUCGGACCCUCCGUCGCGUCCGAAAGGUCGACGACGGAGGGGAACAGAAUCUGGCUUAUUCGCCG
rnacentral:RNase_P_RNA from 1 species